rnacentral:rRNA from 1 species
UUAUGGAUUAAGAUAUUAAGAGUAUAUGGGGAAUGCCUUGGCACAGAUAGGCGAAGAAGGGCGUAGCAGACUGCGAUAAGCCUCGGGGAGCCGUCAAGCAGGCUUAGAUCCGAGGAUUUCCGAAUGGGGAAACCUGAUACGAUAAACUCGUAUCGUCUCUGAAUAAAUACAUAGUUCAGGGUCGCCAACCCAGAGAAGUGAAACAUCUCAGUAUCUGGAGGAAAAGAAAACAAAAGUGAUUUCCCAAGUAGUGGUGAGCGAACGGGAAAGAGUCUAAACCCAGACAUACGUGAUAGGCUGCAACCGUUGUAUGUCAGGUGUCGCGGGACCUGAUUGGUCAAGUGCAGUGAGACCAAAAGGUUACAAAUUAUCUGUAUAGCAGAACUGUUUGGAAUGACAGGCCACAGAAGGUGAAAGCCCGGUAUGCGGCAUGCAGAUGACCUUUUUCAGGUAUCCCAAGUACCACGGGACACGAGAAACCCUGUGGGAAUUCGGCAGGACCACCUGCCAAGGCUAA